UGGGGAAUAUUGCACAAUGGGCGCAAGCCUGAUGCAGCCAUGCCGCGUGUGUGAAGAAGGCCUUAGGGUUGUAAAGCACUUUCAGUCAGGAGGAAGGGUGGUAGUUUAAUACACUAUCACAUUGACGUUACUGACAGAAGAAGCACCGGCUAACUCCGUGCCAGCAGCCGCGGUAAUACGGAGGGUGCAAGCGUUAAUCGGAAUUACUGGGCGUAAAGCGCACGCAGGCGGUUGAUUAAGUUGGAUGUGAAAUCCCCGGGCUUAACCUGGGAACUGCAUUCAAGACUGGUCAGCUAGAGUCUCGUAGAGGGGGGUAGAAUUCCACGUGUAGCGGUGAAAUGCGUAGAGAUGUGGAGGAAUACCGGUGGCGAAGGCGGCCCCCUGGACGAAGACUGACGCUCAGGUGCGAAAGCGUGGGGAGCAAACA
rnacentral:rRNA from 1 species